CCUACGGGUGACAGCAGUGGGUAAUAUUGCACAAUGGGGGAAACCCUGAUGCAGCGACGCCGCGUGAGUGAAGAAGUAUUUCGGUACGUAACGCUCUAUCAGCAGGGAAGAAAAUGGCGGUACCUGACUAAGAAGCCCCGGCUAACUACGUGCCAGCAGCCGCGGUAAUACGUAGGGGGCAAGCGUUAUCCGGAUUUACUGGGUGUCAAGGGAGCGUAGACGGCAGCGCAAGUCUGGAGUGAAAUCCCAUGGCUUAACCAUGGAACUGCUUUGGAAACUGUGCAGCUAGAGUGCAGGAGAGGUAAGCGGAAUUCCUAGUGUAGCGGUGAAAUGCGUAGAUAUUAGGAGGAACACCAGUGGCGAAGGCGGCUUACUGGACUGUAACUGACGUUGAGGCUCGAAAGCGUGGGGAGCAAACAGGAUUAGAUACCCUUGUAGUC
rnacentral:rRNA from 1 species